rnacentral:rRNA from 1 species
GAUGAACGCUAGCGGCAGGCUUAACACAUGCAAGUCGAGGGGCAGCAUAAAUAGUAGCAAUACUAUUGGUGGCGACCGGCGGACGGGUGCGUAACGCGUAUACAACCUUCCCUAAACAGGGGGAUAAUCUGGAGAAAUUCGGUCUAAUACCCCAUAACAUCAGAGCAGGCAUCUGUUUUGGUUAAAAUUUCCGGAGGUUUAGGAUGGGUAUGCGUAGCAUUAGCUAGUUGGUGAGGUAACGGCUCACCAAGGCGACGAUGCUUAGGGGGACGGACAAGUUACCCCCCGACAGUGGUACAGAGACACGGACCAGACUCCUACGGGAGGAAGAGUUGAGGAAUAUUGGUCAAUGGGCGGAAGCCUGAACCAGCCAUGCCGCGUGCAUGAUGCCGGCUCUAUGAGUUGUAAACUGCUUUUGUACGAGUGUAAAGUGGGCUACGUGUAGCCUUUUGAUAGUAUCGUACGAAUAAGGAUCGGCUAACUCCGUGCCAGCAGCCGCCGUAA